GCUAACGCGUGAAGUUGACCGCCUGGGGAGUACGGUCGCAAGAUUAAAACUCAAAGGAAUUGACGGGGACCCGCACAAGCGGNGGAUGAUGUGNAUUAAUUCGAUGCAACGCGAAAAACCUUACCUACCCUUGACAUGUCUGGAAUGCCGAAGAGAUUUGGCAGUGCUCGCAAGAGAACCGGAACACAGGUGCUGCAUGGNUGUCGUCAGCUCGUGUCGUGAGAUGUUGGGUUAAGUCCCGCAACGAGCGCAACCCUUGUCAUUAGUUGCUACGAAAGGGCACUCUAAUGAGACUGCCGGUGACAAACCGGAGGAAGGUGGGGAUGACGUCAAGUCCUCAUGGCCCUUAUGGGUAGGGCUUCACACGUCAUACAAUGGUCGGGACAGAGGNUCGCCAACCCGCGAGGGGGAGCCAAUCCCAGAAACCCGAUCGUAGUCCGGNAUCGCAGUCUGCAACUCGACUGCGUGAAGUCGGAAUCGCUAGUANUCGCGGAUCAGCAUGUCGCGGUGAAUACGUUCC
rnacentral:rRNA from 1 species